rnacentral:lncRNA from 1 species
AACCAAUAAUAAUGAAUUAAUCAAAUUAAAUUAUUAUUCAUUAUUAGUUCAGGUAAUUAAUUAUUAACUGAGCUUACAUCUUCAGCUUCAAACAAUGUCCUGUGUGUCCACAGCUGAAAGAUAAGGUAAGCAAAAUAUGCAACCAACAUGGUAAUGCUGGCGGCCCUCGACAAGUACAGCGAUNNNNNNNNNGCAUAACAAUGCCAGCAGAAGCAUUAGAGAGUUCACAUCUGCUUGUCUCUGCAAAAUUCAAUGCUUAACAUUAUUAGUCCCCAACGUAGAGCCACAAUAGAAAUUGUGUCUUUCUCGUUAUUUAUUUAUUUAUACUUUUUAUAAUUUUGAAUCAAUAGUAAAAUUGAUGAUUUUUUUUUCAUAAUCCAAAUUUUCCAUAAAAUUUUAAAUCCUUGUCCCUUUAAAUAAUUUUUCCCUUGGCAAGGGUUUCAAUUAACGUGUUUAUAGAGGUGCUUACUCUGUCAUAUUUUUGUUCCUUUGCAAGGUUUGCAAUGCCACCACACAAGAGAGAGGUUCCAAGAACCAGCAGAAGGUUUGAGAGGAUAGAACCCAGUAGAGAAUACUUCACCAAAUCAACUUUGUUACUACUCAGUGCAAAUAUUGCUAUG